rnacentral:lncRNA from 1 species
GAUAUCAUUCUCCAUUUUCUAAUAAGCCGCAUAAAACAUAUAUAUAUUUUGUUGAGAGAUAGGUGACACGCUAACCGGUUCGUUUAUUUUAUUUAGAAAUAAAUUUAGCUAGAAAUGUAAAUCAACUAGGAUUCGAAUUUGGACCGGUCUCGGGUACCAACCACCAAGCCCUUUGCCACUUGCUCUAGGGACGGUCGGUGCCGCAUAAAAUAUAUUAUAACCAACUUGUUGCAAUACGCAGAAGCUAGAAGGUGAUAUUAGGUU